UGCCCUAGUAACGGCGAGUGAAGCGGCAACAGCUCAAAUUUGAAAUCUGGCCCUAGGCCCGAGUUGUAAUUUGCAGAGGAUGCUUUUGGCAAAGCGCUUACCGAGUCCCCUGGAACGGGGCGCCACAGAGGGUGAGAGCCCCGUAUGGUAUGACGCCGAGCCUCUGUAAAGCUCCUUCGACGAGUCGAGUAGUUUGGGAAUGCUGCUCUAAAUGGGAGGUAAAUUUCUUCUAAAGCUAAAUACCGGCCAGAGACCGAUAGCGCACAAGUAGAGUGAUCGAAAGAUGAAAAGCACUUUGAAAAGAGGGUUAAAUAGCACGUGAAAUUGUUGAAAGGGAAGCGCUCGUGACCAGACUUGCGCCGGGCGGAUCAUCCAGCGUUCUCGCUGGUGCACUCCGCCCGGCUCAGGCCAGCAUCGGUUUUCGCCGGGGGACAAAAGCUUCGGGAACGUGGCUCCCUUCGGGGAGUGUUAUAGCCCGUUGUUUAAUACCCCGGCGGGGACCGAGGGGCCCGCGCUUCGGCAAGGAUGCUGGGGUAAUGGUCAUCAGCGACCCGUCUUGAAACACGGACCGAGGAGUCAAGCAUUAGUGCGAGUGUUUGGGUGUAAAACCCGCACGCGUAAUGAAAGUGAACGUAGGUGAGAGCUUCGGCGCAUCAUCGACCGAUCCUGAUGUUUUCGGAUGGAUUUGAGUAGGAGCAUUAACGCUUGGACCCGAAAGAUGGUGAACUAUACUUGAAUAGGGUGAAGCCA
rnacentral:rRNA from 1 species